rnacentral:rRNA from 1 species
UACGUAGGGUCCGAGCGUUGUCCGGAAUCACUGGGCGUAAAGGGCGCGUAGGCGGCUGGGGAAGUCGGCGGUGAAAGCCCGGAGCUCAACUCCGGGUCGGCCGUCGAGACUCCUCGGCUCGAGCUCACUAGAGGCAGAUGGAAUUCCGGGUGUAGCGGUGGAAUGCGUAGAGAUCCGGAAGAACACCGGUGGCGAAGGCGGUCUGCUGGGGUGAGGCUGACGCUGAUGCGCGACAGCGUGGGGAGCAAACAGG